CUUGGUCAUUUAGAGGAAGUAAAAGUCGUAACAAGGUUUCCGUAGGUGAACCUGCGGAAGGAUCAUUACUGUGAUUUAGUACUACACUGCGUGAGCGGAACGAAAACAAAAACACCUAAAAUGUGGAAUAUAGCAUAUAGUCGACAAGAGAAAUCUACGAAAAACAAACAAAACUUUCAACAACGGAUCUCUUGGUUCUCGCAUCGAUGAAGAGCGCAGCGAAAUGCGAUACCUAGUGUGAAUUGCAGCCAUCGUGAAUCAUCGAGUUCUUGAACGCACAUUGCGCCCCUCGGCAUUCCGGGGGGCAUGCCUGUUUGAGCGUCGUUUCCAUCUUGCGCGUGCGCAGAGUUGGGGGAGCGGAGCGGACGACGUGUAAAGAGCGUCGGAGCUGCGACUCGCCUGAAAGGGAGCGAAGCUGGCCGAGCGAACUAGACUUUUUUUCAGGGACGCUUGGCGGCCGAGAGCGAGUGUUGCGAGACAACAAAAAGCUCGACCUCAAAUCAGGUAGGAAUACCCGCUGAACUUAAGCAUAUCAAUAAGCGGAGGAA
rnacentral:rRNA from 1 species